ensembl:lincRNA 1700049E15Rik RIKEN cDNA 1700049E15 gene
AGGCUUCCCAGAGCGAGAAAACUCCCACCUGGCUUCACGGACGCCUCAAGCUGAGUUUUGAUUCUGACAUCUCUCUGCUUUCUGGAGUGCCCUGGAGAGUGGCCCAGCGAAAAUAACCAAACGAUGGACUAGAAGUUUCUGUUUCACACACAGGCACAGGGCGGAGGAGGCACUAGAGUUUUCUAAGCAGCCGAGACUCACUUGGGCUACAAUCUCUCCAUGAUCCAGCACCUCUUCAGGAGUCCUUCAGCAUGCCUGCUCCUGAACUACAUUUGGAAGAGAGGCAUGCUGGUACCCAAGUGUAUGGAUCCACUUCCAGUGGUGAUGUCAAAACUAUGUCUCUAGUACCAGCCUCCUGAGAAGUCCCACUCACAUUGCCAAGUUCCUGCUGGCAUUGCCAUGUGAGUGAAUGAAACCUCAGGAAACUUAGUGGAAGCACACUGCCGUCUUUAACCCAGAAGUCAUGGAUAUCUGUGCUCCUAAUCUUUACAAGAAGUGUCAUCAUUUGUCCAUUUGAGCGAGUCUUGAUGUGCAGUCCAGGCUGAUGUAUAACUUGGUAUGUAGAACAGACCGGCCUCAAUGUGAUGGCAAUCUUUCUGCCUUACCUCCUAAAUGCUGGGGACAGUGUGAGCUCCACACCAGCCUGCUUCCCUCUGUUGUUUGCCUCUGGUGUGCGUCAUCUUGACGAAGUCUGACUAUCAGUGUAUCUCCUUUAUCAGUUUCCAAGGAUCUUGUCAUCAAGAAUGGGGUGUUUUUCUGCUUAUUCACAUCCUCAGUCCAGGCCUUGACCUGAGCUUGGUAUCUGUUUGAAACGUGGCAAACUCUGGCAAAUUAAAACUUUGGUACCCUGUAAGCAAACACAGAGAGGGCAUGUUCUCUUCCCCCUUUGGAUUUUUCAAUACACUCAAUUUCAUGAUCCUC